rnacentral:lncRNA from 1 species
CAAGCUGGAAAAUGCUUCAAAGUAAUGGUAUAUGAUGAACAAAAUCAACAACACUUGAGCUCCUUCGAGGUUUUCAGCAGAAAUCCAAAAAUGAAGAAGUGAGGUUUUUUGGAGGAAAUGGUUUUUUGGUCUUCAAUUGAUGUCUGCUAGGGCUUUGGAAAGGCAGAAAAAGAGUUCUUAUAUGUCUGUUUAAGGUUGGAUUAGUGAGAGCUAAGCACAAUUUUG